rnacentral:rRNA from 1 species
AGCGAACGCUGGCGGCAGGCUUAACACAUGCAAGUCGAACGCCCGGGCAACCGGGAGUGGCAGACGGGUGAGUAACGCGUGGGAACGUACCCUUUGGUUCGGAAUAACUCAGGGAAACUUGAGCUAAUACCGGAUAAGCCCUUUUGGGGAAAGAUUUAUCGCCGAAGGAUCGGCCCGCGUCCGAUUAGCUAGUUGGUGUGGUAACGGCGCACCAAGGCGACGAUCGGAAGCUGGUCUGAGAGGAUGAUCAGCCACACUGGGACUGAGACACGGCCCAGACUCCUACGGGAGGCAGCAGUGGGGAAUAUUGGACAAUGGGCGCAAGCCUGAUCCAGCCAUGCCGCGUGAGUGAUGAAGGCCUUAGGGUUGUAAAGCUCUUUCGACGGGGACGAUGAUGACGGUACCCGUAGAAGAAGCCCCGGCUAACUUCGUGCCAGCAGCCGCCGUAAGAC